rnacentral:rRNA from 1 species
UACAGAGGGGGCAAGCGUUGUUCGGAAUUACUGGGCGUAAAGGGCGCGUAGGCGGCGUGGUAAGUCACUUGUGAAAUCUCUGAGCUUAACUCAGAACGGCCAAGUGAUACUGCUGUGCUCGAGUGUGGAAGGGGCAAUCGGAAUUCUUGGUGUAGCGGUGAAAUGCGUAGAUAUCAAGAGGAACACCUGAGGUGAAGACGGGUUGCUGGGCCAACACUGACGCUGAGGCGCGAAAGCCAGGGGAGCAAACGGG